rnacentral:rRNA from 1 species
GACGAACGCUGGCGGCGUGCUUAACACAUGCAAGUCGAACGGUGAUGCUCCAGCUUGCUGGCGUGGUCCAGUGGCGAACGGGUGAGUAACACGUGAGUAACCUGCCCCAGACUCUGGGAUAAGCGCUGGAAACGGCGGCUAAUACCGGAUACGAAAUUGGCCCGCAUGGUGGUGGUUUGGAAGGUUCGGCGGUUUGGGAUGGGCUCGCGGCCUAUCAGCUUGUUGGUGGGGUAAUGGCUCACCAAGGCGUUGACGGGUAGCCGGCCUGAGAGGGCGACCGGCCACACUGGGACUGAGAUACGGCCCAGACUCCUACGGGAGGCAGCAGUGGGGAAUAUUGCACAAUGGGCGGAAGCCUGAUGCAGCGACGCCGCGUGCGGGAUGACGGCCUUCGGGUUGUAAACCGCUUUCGGCAGGGAAGAAGCGAAAGUGACGGUACCUGCAGAAGAAGCACCGGCUAACUACGUG